rnacentral:rRNA from 1 species
GAUGAACGCUGGCGGCGUGCUUAACACAUGCAAGUCGAACGAAGCACCUCUCCCGUUGAUUGACACAGCUUGCUGUAGCUUGAUUCAUUUGAGGUGACUGAGUGGCGGACGGUUUAGUAACGCUUCGGUAACCUGCCUCAUAGAGGGGGACAACAGUUGGAAACGACUGCUAAUACCGCAUAGUAAGAAGAAUUCGCAUAUUUUCUUCUUGAAAGCUUUAUCGCUGUGAGAUGGUCCCUCGUCUGAUUAGCUAGUUGGUACGGUAACGGCUUACCAAGGCGACGAAGAGUAGCUGGCAGGAGAGAGGGAAAGACUACAUUGGGACUGAGACACGGACCAAAAUCGUACGGGAGGGAGCAGUGGGGAAUAUUACACAAGGGGGGAAAACCUGAUGAAGCGACGCGGCGGGAGUGAAGAAGUAGGUCGGUAUGUAAAGCUGUAUCAGCAGGGAAGAGAAUGACGGUACCGGACUAAGAAGCACCGGCUAACUACGUG